rnacentral:lncRNA from 1 species
CCAGUGUCUAACGGUUCAUUUAAAAUAUGGAUAUUUUUGUACAAAGAUAAUUUGCCUUUAGAGUGUACAGUCAUACAGCGUGGGCUUCUGAGCUACUAACUAAUGGGUAUCUGUUAUUGUCAUUUGUAUUUCUGAUCUCUAGAGUGGUAUGGAUAAAGAAGGUCAAAAUGGUCUCUGAUGAAAAGAAACUUUUAAAAUGCUUGGAAAAGUUAAUGAAUUAGAUUUCCCUGCACUUGAAGAUAUUAGGAUUGGGAGAUCAAGACUCCCAUCAGCCAAAUCAAGAAUAUUCACAGUUGACAGGAAAACUCAAAGUUUCUUUUUCCCCACCAGAGAAAUGUCUCCCACCACCAUAGCUAAACAGUGAAAUCCGAAGUGGGUAGAGCGUGCCUUUUUUUUUCCUUUGAGCACUUCCAGCUCAAUCAAGAGACAAGCAAUUUUAAAUAAAGAAGAACCCCGUUGCCAAGAAUCUUUAGAUCAAUGAUCAGGAAUAUAUGAUAUUUUAUAGUUCAAAUAUGUAUCAAACAUUAUGAUGAUGAUAAAUUUACUAGAUAUAUUCUUACAGCUAUAUUUGAUUUUGGUUAAUGUAAGCAUUAACCAAACUCUCUUAUCUUUGAAUUAAUUAUAAUUUACCAGAAAAUCUGUUUUAUGGUAUAUAGAGAAUAGUCCCAGCAUCAAUAUUUUGAUAUGCCUGGAGCCUAGUAAGUUCAGGCCUGAAAAUAAGUGGUAUAUAGUUUGUCUCUCUUUCUCAUUACUCUUUGGUUUCAGUUUUCAUGGGGACUUGUGUUUGAGGGGCUAAUUGUGACCAUACAGGUCAUUGGGAGACAGAUGUUCUUUUGGGAAGAAAAACUAUGAAGCUGAAAAGCAGAAAGCCUACUGUCUACCACUGUAAUCAAGAUAAUCCACAAAGUACACUCAGUGGGAAGGGUAAAAAUGCUUUAAAGAAAAAAAAGCCUAAACAAAACACAUAGCAUACUUUUCCAGCUGCACUAACACACCUAUACUCAUUAGCUGGGCUCAAUUUAAGACUUUGAAAAAGUAGUUACGGAAGAAGAAACAUUCAAGUGAUUUGCUUUUUAAGGGUGAAUACCUACAAAGCUGCAGAGAGGAAAAUCUCAUGGCAAAUGUGAAUUGAUAAUCACUUGUGUGCAUCUAAAGGGCAGGGGAAGCCAUAUCCAAUUGUAGAGAUGUGUUAGCUGUUGGCCUCUCAAACUGUUUGCAGGCAUACUGUGAGUACUGCUUUUUCCUAUCAGUUUGACACCUCAGCAGCUCAGAGCUGAUAGGAUUCUUCAUCAAUCACCUUGAUCACAAUGGCUAUAUGGACAGGGGAUUUAAGAGAGCUGAUCUACUCUGUCACUUUGGGCUAUGUGAAGAACAUUGUUCUUUUUUUCUUUCUUUUCUUUAGGCCAUCUCAUCCAUCAACCAAACUACACAACAAUUGAGACCUAAAACUAAAAAACACAUAUAAUGACACUUGGUUAAAUUAUUGGGCACUGCUAAAUCCACAAGGAAUCGGACUAACCAUUCAAUUUGUUUUAAAGAAUCAGCCCACCAGUGGUUAGAUACUCAUGUAAACAAAUGGGUAUUUGGCAUCGUGCAUCAUGGAAUUACAGUUUGAUAUUAAAGAGACUUCAAAUAUCCAGUGUCACAG